CGCUUUUUGAGAAUAAUAAAAAGUCGUGCCUGCCCAAUGACUCGUUAAAUGGCUGCAGUACCCUGACUGUACAAAGGUAGCGUAAUAAUUUGUCUUUUAAUUGAAGACAAGUAUGAAUGGCUUGAUAAAAUAAAACUGUCUUUUUAAAAAUUGAUAAAACUUAGUUUUUAGAUGAAGAAAUCUAAAUAAUAUUUAUAGACGAGAAGACCCUAUCGAGCUUUUAUAAUAUUUUAAAGUAAUUAGAUAUUUAUAUAUGCAUAAUUUAAAAAAUUUUUGGUUGGGGCCAUCAAGGAAUAGGAAAAAUUUCCUGUAAGUAUUUUAACUUAUAUGUAAUGAUCCAUUAUAUGUGAAUAAAAUAAAGCUACCGUAGGGAUAACAGCGUAAUUAUCUUAGAGAGUUCACAUUGAUAAGAAAGUUUGCGACCUCGAUGUUGGAUUAAAUUGUCCUUAAGGAGUAGUCAUCUUAAAGGGUUGGUCUGUUCGACCAUUAAAAAUUU
rnacentral:rRNA from 1 species